rnacentral:rRNA from 1 species
CUUAGUGGCGGACGGGUGAGUAACGCGUGAGAAUCUGCCAAAAGGACUGGGACAACAGCUGGAAACGGCUGCUAAUACCGGAUAUGCCAGAAAGUGAAAAGGGUAAAACCGCCUUUUGAUGAGCUCGCGUCCGAUUAGAUAGUUGGUGGGGUAAAAGCCUACCAAGGCGACGAUCGGUAACUGGUCUGAGAGGAUGACCAGUCACACUGGGACUGAGACACGGCCCAGACUCCUACGGGAGGCAGCAGUGGGGAAUUUUCCGCAAUGGGCGAAAGCCUGACGGAGCAAUACCGCGUGAGGGAGGAAGGCUCUUGGGUUGUAAACCUCUUUUCUCAGGGAAGAACAAAAUGACGGUACCUGAGGAAUCAGCAUCGGCUAACUCCGUGCCAGCAGCCGCGGUAAUACGGAGGAUGCAAGCGUUAUCCGGAAUGAUUGGGCGUAAAGCGUCCGCAGGUGGCUUUGCAAGUCUGCUGUCAAAGCUCAGGGCUUAACCCUGAAUCGGCGGUGGAAACUGAAAGGCUAGAGUGUGGUAGGGGCAGAGGGAAUUCCCAGUGUAGCGGUGAAAUGCGUAGAGAUUGGGAAGAACACCAGUGGCGAAAGCGCUCUGCUAGACCGCAACUGACACUCAUGGACGAAAGCUAGGGGAGCGAAUGGGAUUAGAUACCCCAGUAGUCCUAGCCGUAAACGAUGGAUACUAGGCGUUAAGAGUAUCGACCCUCUUAGUGCCGUAGCUAACGCGUUAAGUAUCCCGCCUGGGGAGUACGCACGCAAGUGUGAAACUCAAAGGAAUUGACGGGGGCCCGCACAAGCGGUGGAGUAUGUGGUUUAAUUCGAUGCAACGCGAAGAACCUUACCAAGGCUUGACAUGGGCAGAAAUCCGGCAGAGAUGUCGGGUCCGCAAGGGCUGCUCACAGGUGGUGCAUGGUUGUCGUCAGCUCGUGUCGUGAGAUGUUGGGUUAAUACGGGCGAGCGAGCGCAACCCUCGUUCUAUGUUGCCAGCACGUAAUGGUGGGGACUCAUAGGAGACUGCCGGGGUCAACUCGGAGGAAGGUGGGGAUGACGUCGAAUCAUCAUGCCCCUUAUGUCUUGGGCUUCUCGCAUGCUACAAUGGCCAGUACAAAGGGCUGCGAGACCGUGAGGUGGAGCGAAUCCCAAAAAAGCUGGUCUCAG